rnacentral:tRNA from 1 species
AGAGGCUUAGGUUAGCCGAGACCAAGAGCCUUCAAAGCUCUAAGCAAGUAUUAAAUUACUUAGCCCCUGA